rnacentral:rRNA from 1 species
UACGUAGGGUCCGAGCGUUGUCCGGAAUUACUGGGCGUAAAGAGCUCGUAGGUGGUUUGUCGCGUUGUUCGUGAAAACUCACAGCUCAACUGUGGGCGUGCGGGCGAUACGGGCAGACUGGAGUACUGCAGGGGAGACUGGAAUUCCUGGUGUAGCGGUGGAAUGCGCAGAUAUCAGGAGGAACACCGGUGGCGAAGGCGGCGACCUGGGUCGAGACUGACGCUGGAGGCGCGAAAGCGUGGGGAGCAAACAGG